rnacentral:rRNA from 1 species
GUAUAAACAAAAUUAUUUGCCAGAGUACUACCAGCAACAGCUUAAAACUCAAAGGACUUGGCGGUGCUUUAUAUCCUUCUAGAGGAGCCUGUUCUGUAAUCGAUAAACCCCGAUAAACCUCACCAGUUCUUGCUAAUACAGUCUAUAUACCGCCAUCUUCAGCAAACCCUAAAAAGGAAGAAAAGUAAGCAUAAUCAUAAUACAUAAAAACGUUAGGUCAAGGUGUAACCUAUGAAAUGGGAAGAAAUGGGCUACAUUCUCUAUACUAAGAGAACCAAACACGAAAGCUAUUAUGAAAUUAAUAACCAAAGGAGGAUUUAGCAGUAAACUAAGAAUAGAGUGCUUAGUUGAAUUAGGCCAUGAAGCACGCACACACCGCCGGUUCACC